AAUAAGUAUCAAGAGACAGCUUAAGUGCUGAACCAACCGAGCAGACAUAGCCACGGUGGUAAAAAUGAUACGGGUUUAAGGAUUUAGUAUUAAUCAUUAAAUUAAAA
rnacentral:ncRNA from 2 species